GACGAACGCUGGCGGCGUGCUUAACACAUGCAAGUCGAACGGAGCUAUUUAUUUCGGUAAAUCGCUUAGUGGCAAACGGGUGAGUAACGCGUAGGCAACCUGCCCUCAGGAUGGGGACAACGGCUCGAAAGAGCCGCUAAUACCGAAUGACGUAACUCUUCCACAUGGAAGAGAUACUAAAGAUGGGUCAAACCAUCGCCUAAGGAUGGGCCUGCGUCUGAUUAGCCAGUUGGUGAGGUAACGGCUCACCAAAGCGACGAUCAGUAGCCGGUCUGAGAGGAUGAACGGCCACAAUGGGACUGAGACACGGCCCAUACUCCUACGGGAGGCAGCAGUGGGGAAUCUUCCGCAAUGGGCGAAAGCCUGACGGAGCAACGCCGCGUGAGUGAAGAAGGUCUUCGGAUCGUAAAGCUCUGUUGUCGGGGACGAAAGGGUAGACGAGGUAAUGCG
rnacentral:rRNA from 1 species